GUUGUGGGUAGAUGCAUACGCACACACGGCUGCAGUCGAGAGUCCGAGAUGUCAGUAGGCGCGUGGCCGUGCGUUGCUGCUCGCUCCCACGCGUGUGCAGGCAGACGCGUGCCGGUGCUCUGGCGGCGGUGCCUGUGAACACGGCUGUGCACGUCUGCCCCGUGCUCUGCGUGGCGGAACAGCUCGUUUUGGACGUGAGUUCGAGUGCGCUCCUCUGGAGACAAACGUCUCGAUGAGUUUGCCACAUAGCCGUUAUUCGUUAUUGCCUCUGCCUUGAGUCCUUCGUUCCCUACAAGUUUUGGAAAAUAGACAUUCAAAGAUGAAGAACUGACUUUAAAAUGGAAAAUCUUCCCUGUUCUAGUUGGAAAUAUUAAAUGUCUGCAGGACACAGCAGAUGAAGGCAAAAUGCUGCUUCACCAGCCUGUGUUCAGAAUACUUUUUAGUAAAGAUGUCAGAGAGAAACAAAGAAUAUCUAACGAAUAUUCCACAUUGAAGCUAUGGCAGUCUCUUUUGGAAAGUAUAACAAAGUUUCAGUGGCAGGAAAGCAAAAGACUCCAGUAGUCAUUUUUCCUUGAUCUUCAUGUUAUCCUAUAAGAAUCUCCAAGCCCACUCUGAGAAACUUGAUACUGAACAUGGGAAUUUUUUUUCCCCAGUAGACAAUUUGUCAGAACACAGUGAAAUUGGAUUACAUUCAUCAAUGUAUUUACCCCAAAUAAAAUUAACA
rnacentral:lncRNA from 7 species